AGCUGGUUUGACUGUCGUGGGUUAUCAGAACUUAUUAACGUUAGUGUCACUAAAGUUGGUAUACAACCCCCAGCUGCUAAAUUUGGCUUAAA
ensembl:misc_RNA Y_RNA Y RNA